AUACCCGCUGAACUUAAGCAUAUCAUUUAGCGGAGGA
rnacentral:rRNA from 1 species